rnacentral:rRNA from 1 species
AUUGAACGCUGGCGGCAGGCCUAACACAUGCAAGUCGAGCGGAUGAAGGGAGCUUGCUCCUGGAUUCAGCGGCGGACGGGUGAGUAAUGCCUAGGAAUCUGCCUGGUAGUGGGGGAUAACGUCCGGAAACGGGCGCUAAUACCGCAUACGUCCUGAGGGAGAAAGUGGGGGAUCUUCGGACCUCACGCUAUCAUAUGAGCCUAGGUCGGAUUAGCUAGUUGGUGGGGUAAAGGCCUACCAAGGCGACGAUCCGUAACUGGUCUGAGAGGAUGAUCAGUCACACGGGAACUGAGAAACGGUCCAGACUCCUACGGGAGGCAGCAGUGGGGAAUAUUGGACAAUGGGCGAAAGCCUGAUCCAGCCAGGCCGCGUGUGUGAAGAAGGUCUUCGGAUUGUAAAGCACUUUAAGUUGGGAGGAAGGGCAGUAAGUUAAUACCUUGCUGUUUUGACGUUACCAACAGAAUAAGCACCGGCUAACUUCGU